rnacentral:rRNA from 1 species
UACGGAGGGGGCGAGCGUUAUUCGGAAUUAUUGGGCGUAAAGGGCGCGUAGGCGGCUGUACAAGUCAAAGGUGAAAUCCCUCGGCUCAACUGAGGAACUGCCUUUGAAACUGUACGCUUGAGGCCGGGAGGGGGUAGCGGAAUUCCCAAUGUAGCGGUGAAAUGCGCAGAUAUCAGGAAGAACACCCGUGGCGAAGGCGGUUCUCUGGGACGGUACUGACGCUGAGACGCGAAAGCGUGGGGAGCGAACAGG